GGUUGACUGGUAUUGUUAGGUAAGAAGAACCAACAACGACUUGGGGAGGAAGAAGAUAAACCAUGGCUAGGGGAGAAAAUGCAGCAAUUGAAUUGAUACCCAAUGAUUUAAAGAGAAUCUCAUGGAAAUGUGACUCUUUUUCAAUCGCCUCAUCUUUAGCAGUCCCUUACUUCACAAUUUUUUAUAGGUCCGACGAGUGUGAUUUCGUAUAGAAGCCAAAGAGAAACCAAUCACUUGAUGGUUGGAUCGAAAGUAAUUUUGCUGGAUGGAAAAAAGAGAAGACGGGGCAGAUCUUGGAAAGCCCCUCCUCCCCCUCCCGUGAGCAACCCGGAGGGGAAACCCUAGCUGCCGCAAGCACUCCCCUCUCCCCUCCCUCCCAUCCCUCGCCGCCGCCGGCUCGCGCGGACGGGCGAAGCCCAGUCGGCGUCGGCGGUGGCGGGGCCGUUCUUCCCCUGCCCGAUGGCGGCCAACGCAGGCUGGUGAGGUCGGGCGGCGGCGCUAUGCUGGCGGAGGGCGCAACGACGCUGCGGUAGGCUGUGGCGACAGGGUCGGUGUUUGGCGGCGGUGUGAAGGGCUCCCUGGUGGUGGUGCUCUGCUCCUGGUGCGCAUGGAGGCGUGGCGGAGGCCACGGUCGGGGUGGCGCCCCCUAUCCAGCGGCGGAUGGUGGGCGCGGCGCGGAGGGGCGCCGCCUUGGCCGCGCGGGUGGCAUGCCGGUGGCGAGCGGGGCGCGUGCUCUCUGGGCCUCCUCGUCGGUCCGUGGAGCGGAUCUCUGCUGGUGGCCUUCUUCCUCAAUUUCCUCUCCUGCCUCGACUGUCGUUGCUGGUUCUUCCAUCCAGUGGCUGGUUGGGGAUGGGGUCAAAGAGCUUUGGAUUGGGGGAAUCCCUUGGCUGGCUGCUGCCACCAUGAUGCCGGCGGCGCCGAGGGCGUCGUUCCCCUUCCUGUAGGCGACAUCGAGAUCCUACCCUGCCCUCCACCUCCAAGUCCCGGGUAAAAACCCAAAAUCUCUGGAUUGGGUGGCGAUGGCGCUCCGGCGGCCUUUUUCUUCUUUAAGGUGCCACCUUGGGACUGUGGAGUGUUGGUUGGGGCUUCGAAGUUGGUGGGGGCCUACCGGACUCUACAGAGAUGCUCUGCUCGGCUGCUUGCGGUUGACGUCGGUCCUUGCCGGAGGUGUGGUGAUGUACAGGGUGCUGCUUUGCAAGAGGAGGUUGUCGUGCUGCCGUCCUCUCCCUUAUUACCUGUUGGUCCAGGUCGUACGAGCUCGGGGGUGAGUGGCUCUGCCUGCCGAUGGUGCGGCGUCCUCCGAUCCAGGACGAGAGGGCAGGGGGCCUUCUUUGGAGGCAGACACGGAUGACGGAACAACGACGGUGGCCUUAUGGGAGUUGAUGGAGCGUGAUUUUCCUCUAACGGCGGGUUGCUACCUUGUCUUGGUCAUAUCGAUUGCAGGACCGUGUUAGCCGAGGGUCUUGAUGUUCCAGCUCUUGGUGCAUUCAAACAUUGUUAGCGGCUCCUCCGAUGUCUUGUAUCUUUGCCGUUUUCUUUUCUUUUCUUUCCUGUUGUAAUGAUCGUUGUAUGGUGGGUGCUGGCUCUCUUUGGCCAAUGCUUUAUAAUCUAAUAAAACGGGGGGAAACCCUUUUUCGUCAAAAUAAUU